rnacentral:lncRNA from 1 species
GAGAAUGGCGCAUCCUUCUAGAGUCUCCAGUCGGUAAGCUCUCGACCCGUAGGUGUCCGCUAUCUUGUAGGGUCCUUCCCAGUUCGGAGCCAACUUUCUCUGGUCUAGAGGCUUCGAAACUUCUGCCUUUCUUAAGACUAGGUUCCCAGGCCUGAAAAGCUUCGACUUAACCUUAGCAUUGUAGUACCGGGCUACUCUC